UAUUGAAACACCGGUUCCUGUAAGAUCUCCUAAUUUAAGCAACGUCAAUCCUGGUCAGUACCUGGAUGGGUGACCUCUUGGGAAUACUAGCUGCU